CUUGGCGGGCGUGCUUACCAUGCAGUCGAACGAUGAAGCCUAGCUUGCUGGGUGGAUUAGUGGCGAACGGGUGAGUAACACGUGAGCAACCUGCCCCUGACUCUGGGAUAAGCGCUGGAAACGGCGUCUAAUACUGGAUACGAACAAGAAUCGCAUGGUUACUUGUUGGAAAGAUUUUUUGGUUGGGGAUGGGCUCGCGGCCUAUCAGCUUGUUGGUGAGGUAAUGGCUCACCAAGGCGUCGACGGGUAGCCGGCCUGAGAGGGUGACCGGCCACACUGGGACUGAGACACGGCCCAGACUCCUACGGGAGGCAGCAGUGGGGAAUAUUGCACAAUGGGCGGAAGCCUGAUGCAGCAACGCCGCGUGAGGGAUGACGGCCUUCGGGUUGUAAACCUCUUUUAGCAGGGAAGAAGCGAGAGUGACGGUACCUGCAGAAAAAGCGCCGGCUAACUACGUGCCAGCAGCCGCGGUAAUACGUAGGGCGCAAGCGUUAUCCGGAAUUAUUGGGCGUAAAGAGCUCGUAGGCGGUUUGUCGCGUCUGCUGUGAAAUCCCGAGGCUCAACCUCGGGCCUGCAGUGGGUACGGGCAGACUAGAGUGCGGUAGGGGAGAUUGGAAUUCCUGGUGUAGCGGUGGAAUGCGCAGAUAUCAGGAGGAACACCGAUGGCGAAGGCAGAUCUCUGGGCCGUAACUGACGCUGAGGAGCGAAAGGGUGGGGAGCAAACAGGCUUAGAUACCCUGGUAGUCCACCCCGUAAACGUUGGGAACUAGUUGUGGGGUCCAUUCCACGGAUUCCGUGACGCAGCUAACGCAUUAAGUUCCCCGCCUGGGGAGUACGGCCGCAAGGCUAAAACUCAAAGGAAUUGACGGGGACCCGCACAAGCGGCGGAGCAUGCGGAUUAAUUCGAUGCAACGCGAAGAACCUUACCAAGGCUUGACAUACACCAGAACACCCUGGAAACAGGGGACUCUUUGGACACUGGUGAACAGGUGGUGCAUGGUUGUCGUCAGCUCGUGUCGUGAGAUGUUGGGUUAAGUCCCGCAACGAGCGCAACCCUCGUUCUAUGUUGCCAGCACGUAAUGGUGGGAACUCAUGGGAUACUGCCGGGGUCAACUCGGAGGAAGGUGGGGAUGACGUCAAAUCAUCAUGCCCCUUAUGUCUUGGGCUUCACGCAUGCUACAAUGGCCGGUACAAUGGGCAGCGAUACCGUGAGGUGGAGCGAAUCCCAAAAAGCCGGUCCCAGUUCGGAUUGAGGUCUGCAACUCGACCUCAUGAAGUCGGAGUCGCUAGUAAUCGCAGAUCAGCAACGCUGCGGUGAAUACGUUCCCGGGUCUUGUACACACCGCCCGUCAAGUCAUGAAAGUCGGUAACACCUGAAGCCGGUGGCCUAACCCCUUGUGGGAGGGAGCUGUCGAAGUGAUCCG
rnacentral:rRNA from 1 species